CAACAGGGAUUGCCCUAGUAACGGCGAGUGAAGCGGCAACAGCUCAAAUUUGAAAUCUGGCUCUCGGGCCCGAGUUGUAAUUUGUAGAGGAUACUUUUGAUGCGGUGCCUUCCGAGUUCCCUGGAACGGGACGCCAUAGAGGGUGAGAGCCCCGUCUGGUUGGAUGCCAAAUCUCUGUAAAGUUCCUUCGACGAGUCGAGUAGUUUGGGAAUGCUGCUCUAAAUGGGAGGUAUAUGUCUUCUAAAGCUAAAUAUUGGCCAGAGACCGAUAGCGCACAAGUAGAGUGAUCGAAAGAUGAAAAGCACUUUGAAAAGAGAGUUAAAAAGUACGUGAAAUUGUUGAAAGGGAAGCGUUUAUGACCAGACUUGGACUUGGUUAAUCAUCUGGGGUUCUCCCCAGUGCACUUUUCCAGUUCAGGCCAGCAUCAGUUUUCGCCGGGGGAUAAAGGCUUCGGGAAUGUAGCUCUCUUCGGGGAGUGUUAU
rnacentral:rRNA from 2 species